rnacentral:rRNA from 1 species
GAUGAACGCUGGCGGCGUGCUUAACACAUGCAAGUCGAACGAAGAUAUUUAGAAUGAGAGCUUCGGCAGGAUUUCUUUCCAUCUUAGUGGCGGACGGGUGAGUAACGUGUGGGCAACCUGCCCUGUACUGGGGAAUAAUCAUUGGAAACGAUGACUAAUACCGCAUGUGGUUCUCGGAAGGCAUCUUCUGAGGAAGAAAGGAUUUAUUCGGUACAGGAUGGGCCCGCAUCUGAUUAGCUAGUUGGUGAGAUAACAGCCCACCAAGGCGACGAUCCGUAGCUGGUUUGAGAGGACGACCAGCCACACUGGGACUGAGACACGGCCCAG